UUGACCUCGGAUCAGGUAGGACUACCCGCUGAACUUAAGCAUAUCAAUAAGCGGAGGAAAAGAAACCAACAGGGAUUGCCCCAGUAACGGCGAGUGAAGCGGCAACAGCUCAGAUUUGGAAUCUGGCCCCCAGGGCCCGAGUUGUAAUCUGGAGAGGAUGCUUCUGGCGCGGCGCCUUCCGAGUUCCCUGGAACGGGACGCCGGAGAGGGUGAGAGCCCCGUACGGUUGGACGCCUAGCCUUUGUGAAGCUCCUUCGACGAGUCGAGUAGUUUGGGAAUGCUGCUCAAAAUGGGAGGUAAAUUUCUUCUAAAGCUAAAUACCGGCCAGAGACCGAUAGCGCACAAGUAGAGUGAUCGAAAGAUGAAAAGCACUUUGAAAAGAGGGUCAAACAGUACGUGAAAUUGUUGAAAGGGAAGCGCCCGUGGCCAGACUUGUGCCCCGCGGACCACCCGGCGCCCUCAGCGCCGGUGCACUCCGCGGGGCGCAGGCCAGCAUCGGUUUUCCUAGGGGGAUAAAGGCGGCGGGAACGUGGCUCCCUCGGGAGUGUUAUAGCCCGCCGCGCCAUGCCCCUGGGGGGACCGAGGACCGCGCUUCGGCAAGGAUGCUGGCGUAAUGGCCACCGGCGACCCGUCUUGAA
rnacentral:rRNA from 1 species